CCUACGGGCGGCAGCAGUGGGGAAUAUUGGACAAUGGGGGCAACCCUGAUCCAGCCAUGCCGCGUGUGUGAAGAAGGCCCUCGGGUUGUAAAGCACUUUCAGUGAGGAAGAACGCCUGGUGGUUAAUACCCAUCAGGAAAGACAUCACUCACAGAAGAAGCACCGGCUAACUCCGUGCCAGCAGCCGCGGUAAUACGGGGGGUGCGAGCGUUAAUCGGAAUUACUGGGCGUAAAGCGCGCGUAGGUGGCUUGAUAAGCCGGUUGUGAAAGCCCCGGGCUCAACCUGGGAACGGCAUCCGGAACUGUCAAGCUAGAGUGCAGGAGAGGAAGGUAGAAUUCCCGGUGUAGCGGUGAAAUGCGUAGAGAUCGGGAGGAAUACCAGUGGCGAAGGCGGCCUUCUGGACUGACACUGACACUGAGGUGCGAAAGCGUGGGUAGCAAACAGGAUUAGAUACCCCAGUAGUC
rnacentral:rRNA from 1 species